CGGGAUGCCGUCAUGGAAAUUGACCAGUGGAUAGAGCUCAGCGGUUUGAAGAUCAACAGUAACAAGAGCUUUGAAAUAACCUUUGUCAUGAAAGGCACCGAGUCAGUUAAUUUGUUGUUAGAGCAACUGUUGAGAAAGUACUGAUCCGAAUCGCUCAUGCUAUUAGGUACGCGUUGGUUAAUUUAAACUACCUUCUUUACCCGUUCGAUAUCCUUGAUCAGCGGUACUUGUAGAAUAAUGCAUGACUAUGACAUUAGCAGUUUGUUGUUGUUGUUGCUGACAAAAUGAUGAUCGAGCUUUGGUAAACGUGUCAUCCAAUAGUGGUUUGAACCAUGCGUCGUUGCGUUUCAGAAAGUUCGUUGCAGUAUGACUUGAAAAUCAAGUGAUCAGCGUUUUCAUUACACGUGAUAUUUGUGUCAGCAACCCAUCUCACUGACCUGUGUUGAAAUGCGGAUCAGAGAUGUUGACGUCAAAACUGCGUGCGAGAAGCAGAUCCAGAUCGAUGAAAUAUGCCAGUGUAGAAUGAAAGUGAACGAAUGCUUGAAUUUAUAAUGUGAAGCGAAAUUUAAAAAAAUUUUAUCGUAUGAUGUUCGACUGUCGCUUCGAGCCACAAUUCAAAGUCAUCCAGAUGGAGUAUGUAUUGGUACUCGAAAGAAGAUUAGUUAUGCUUGAGCAGAGCGAAACCUGAGUAAACUGGUGGAGGUUUGAAACGUUGUUGACCUACAACUCUCUCGUCAGAUUUGUAUACAACAGUAAAUGAGUAGUUUUAUGCAGUAAAUUGAAUGAUUAAAAGUAUUGGAGAGUGAACAUUUUCAAACUAUUCACAAACUUUGAAUUGGUACAGUAUGGUAUUCGUUAGAAAAGUUGUAUGAAGGAAAUAUCGAUGACUAGUGGAAUAGUUUUGAAAAAGUGAACUGUAUUCGAGAUAGAGCAAACUCGAGUUAAGCGUAUGAUACGAACUUUGAACAGAUAUUAUGAAAGGUGUUAACUGAUAGGGACAAGGCGAUGUACAGCAAGGUGAUAUACAUGGAAGUUAUUAUUUACUAAAUAGUGUGUAAUAACUCACCUUCAGGAUCAACUAGCCCUGUAAAUGGAUGAGACUAAAAUUUGUAGCCUAUGGUCGACCGCUUCGUUUGAAUUCAAAGUGAUUAGGAGAGGCGAGGCAUUGUGCUAUGAAACCAGUGUAUUACUAUUGUGUGAACCAUCAUUGGUGUAGAUUUCGAUGAAAGUAACGAAUAUUUAAGAACGAACCUUGUAGAUUGAAUUGAAGAGUUGUUCCAUGUAAACAGUAGUUGUAUGAAUUAAUCGCUACGGAGAUACAGAGGAAACUUGUUUUGAAGUUGGCAGAUGUGCAACUUAUGCGUUUGUAUGGACGUUUAUUGACCGUUUCGGCUGACAGUUCGUCAGCAUCGUGAGUAUUUUUUCGCUGCGUUUAUAUAUCUGAUAUUUAAGUAUACGGCGUUGACGAAGAAACAUCCAGUGUUGUGAUGUUGGACGUCGUCAGAUGAACUUUACUGGAAAUUAUCCGAACGAAGGUUGAUAGGUGAUCGAGUAGGGCAUAGCCUGAGGAGAAGACGACGAAGAGUACUAUACAGGGACGAAAAGAGAACAUGUGUGCAAAGCGUUGAAUAUAUGAAUAUGAGACCAUUGACCAAAAGGAAACCCGGUUAAUAUUCCGGAACCGAGACACGGAGAAUCACCCGUCUUUAGCGGCAGCACGAAGUGCGAUGAUUCAAACACACUCAUAGAAUGGCGGGAAGAGUGGACUUAAUGCUGGUUUACUCGAGGGGUCUGGCACGAGUUGGAACUAGAGAUCGAUCCGGUCGGGUGACUGUAUGAGCUGACGGCUCGAUAAGAAAAUGUUGUGCAAUUCAUCCGGCGUUAAACGGUUAACUUAAAACAGCCACAGACAAGUGCAUUGUGACAUUAGAUGAAACAGGACUUUCUGAUGACGGUCGUCGACUCGAACUGGCAAAAUGUGAUUUCUGACCAACGCUCUGAACGGCAAGGUAAGGAAAUUCAAUAAAACUCGGGUAAACGACUCGCGUAACUAUUGCUCUUAAAUGUCUGAAAAAAUGUUUAGACGAAAUUUGUUGACUAAAGCGAAGAAGUGGCAUCUUCAUCUUCCAUCGCCGCUUCUCCUUUCGGGUCGCGGAGGCAGACGCGUCAAACAGAGCUUCCA
rfam:Soboliphyme baturini genome assembly, scaffold: SBAD_scaffold0007747